ensembl:lncRNA
AUGGGGUCCCCAUAUCCACCCAAUGGAGUUAAUGGGGUUUUAUGGGGUCCCCUAUACCCACUAUGGGGCUUUAUGGGGUCACAAACACUUAUGGGGUUUUAUGGGGUCCCCAUAGACACACAAUGGGGGUUUAUAAGGUCACAAACACUUAUGGGGAUUAUAGGAUCCCCAUAUAAUCCCAAUGGGGUUUAUGGGGUCACAGUCACUUAUGGGGUUUCUGGGUUCCCCUAUACCCACAAUGGGGUUUUAUGGGGUCCCCAUAGACAUACAAUGGGGGUUUAUGGGGUCACAGUCACUUAUGGGGUUUCUGGGUUCCCCUAUACCCACAAUGGGGUUUUAUGGGGUCCCCAUAGACAUACAAUGGGGUUUUAUGGGCUCACAAACUCUUAUGGGGUUUUAUGGGGUCCCCAUAUAAACCCAAUGGGGUUUAUGGUGUUUAUGGGGUUUUAUGGGGUCCCCCAUACCCUCAAUGGGGUUAAUGGGGUUAAUGGGGUUUUAUGGGGUCCCCAUAUCCACCCAAUGGGGUUAAUGGGGUUUUAUAGGGUCCCACCCCAUUCCCCCCCUUUUGGGGUCGCCCCCCCCCCAUAUUGGGGUCUCUUAUGGGGUUCACAGUUGGGGGGGGGGAGGCCGCCCCUAUGGCUUCGCUGUGGGGUCUCUGCGCCUGUGGGGAGACAAUGGACCAGUAUCAACGACCCCAUUACCCCAUAGAUCCCAUUACCCCCAUAGAUCCCAUAGGAUCCCAUUACCCCCAUAGGAUCCCAUUACCCCCAUAGGAUCCCAUUACCCCCAUAGAUCCCAUUAACCCCCAUUGGAUCCCAUUGGAUCCCAUUGCCCCCAUAGAUCCCAUUACCCCCAUUGGAUCCCAUUACCCCCAUAGGAUCCCAUUACCCCCAUUACCCCCAUA